rnacentral:rRNA from 1 species
CCUACGGGAGGCAGCAGUGGGGAAUAUUGCACAAUGGGCGCAAGCCUGAUGCAGCGACGCCGCGUGAGGGAUGACGGCCUUCGGGUUGUAAACCUCUUUCAGUAGGGAAGAAGCGAAAGUGACGGUACCUGCAGAAGAAGCGCCGGCUAACUACGUGCCAGCAGCCGCGGUAAUACGUAGGGCGCAAGCGUUAUCCGGAAUUAUUGGGCGUAAAGAGCUCGUAGGCGGUUUGUCGCGUCUGCCGUGAAAGUCCGGGGCUCAACUCCGGAUCUGCGGUGGGUACGGGCAGACUAGAGUGAUGUAGGGGAGACUGGAAUUCCUGGUGUAGCGGUGAAAUGCGCAGAUAUCAGGAGGAACACCGAUGGCGAAGGCAGGUCUCUGGGCAUUAACUGACGCUGAGGAGCGAAAGCAUGGGGAGCGAACAGGAUUAGAUACCCUGGUAGUCCAUGCCGUAAACGUUGGGCACUAGGUGUGGGGGACAUUCCACGUUUUCCGCGCCGUAGCUAACGCAUUAAGUGCCCCGCCGUGGGGAGGUACGGCCGCGACGACGUAAACUACAANAGAAGUAGACGGCGUGAGACGUGCCGACGGACGACCGACGAGGGAGGUUAGG